UUCACUAAAAGAAAAAAAACCACAACUCGUAAAAGCAAAACGCAAGGGAGGAAACCCUAAUCGUGAGUAAUCUCAAUCGACUAUUUCAUAAAUCCUCUCCGUCAACCAUUGUGUCAACUCCGUAUGGAGCAUCUGAAUUCUAGGUCGCAGUCUCCGUUUUUCCUCUCCCAAUUUCCUCAAAUUUCUCCAUUUUUUGUCUUUGAUUUCUACAAUUUCAGUUCACGUCGCUUUUAAUUUUCCAUUCUCACUCGAAUUCCUAAAAUAUGUUUGCUUUCAAUCAUCACAUUUGCAAGAUCUCAGCAAACCCUAUCUUUUAUGCGGCUAAAUCUACCAUUUCGGUUCACUUCGCUUGAUGCGGAAGCUCGACUCAAGGAUAAGAAAUCAAGAGAUUUUACGGCUUAGUGAAGAUCUGAAGGAAGCUCAAGAAAGCUUUAGAGAAAUAUGAUGUCGGAGACUAUUUCCCCAUAUAUGGCAUCUGCUUAGGCUUUGAACUUAUAUCGAUGAUCGUAAGCAAGAUGAGUUAGCUUUCUUAUGGCUGUUUGGAUGAGUCAGAUACAUGACUAGUGGCCAUAGCUAUACUAGUUAGGAUAUAUUAUUAUGUUGCCUUGUUCUAUAAAAAUUAGUGUUCAUGAUUUCUUUUUUAUUUCAAAUUUCCAAUACAGAGAAAGUAGAAAGAUUAGCUAUUUAUUUUAUGCAUAUGUUGGACACCUUUAACAAUAUUUAUGAUUUGAAAUGUUGCGAAAAGUUGAAGACUUUUGACAAGUUACAUCCGGUUCUGGUCCUUUUUUUUGUAUGUUUACAUGUUUGGCUGUUCUUUUUCUUGAUGAUAGGAUAAUAAUAUCCUUGAAGCAUUUGCAGCAAGAAACGAGUCAAGUAGCCUUCAGUUUGUGGACAAUACAAAUAUAGAAGGAUCUGUAUUUCAAAGUGUUCAUUGAUGGAGAGAAGAAGUUUCAAACAAAGGAUCAAGGGCCAGGUGAUUUGUACUUCAAGUGUGGGGUUUAUGCUGCACCUACUCAUAUUAGUAACUACAUGGAAUCAAGGUGGAGAGAUAUCAAAAUAUAUAAGAAAUUAUCACCUUUUACUAUUUCGUAUAUACUUUAUUUGUAUAAUAUAUAGGUUUGUACAAAUUUAAAGAUGGUUUGGUGAUAUAUAUUAAAAUUUCUUGUUAUGUUAAACUAGAAGAAAGUGUGAGAAAUACAAUGCAAUUAUUUCAUGUAUUCAUCCUCUAGUUAACAGUAGAACAAAAGAAGAUCAAAGAAUUGAGUAUUAAUCUAAACUAAAACAGAUUUUAUUACAGAUAACACUACUUGCAACAGGUUGGUAUGAUGGUCAAGCACGAAUUUGGCCCACUAAUGGUAAGCCAUUUCUUCUGCCUUUCCUUCUGUUUUGAGAUACUUAAUUUUGAUAGAUCUUAGUGUCUGAUUUAGUUGAAUUCGUGGUAUAUAUGAAGUCAUUGAUUAUAUUGUGUUGUUUUUUAUAUUAUGGUUUUCGUAUCCCCUGAUGUCAACGUUAUCAUUAAGUUGUUUAUCUAAACGCUAUUUUAGAUUCAUUUCAUGGAAAAAGCAUUUAAAUUAGUACUAGUAUAUGGAUAUAAACUUAUAAAAGCAAGUAACUAAUCAUUAUGAAAUGUUCAUUUCAACUUACUUCAAUAUGCUUCUCAUUCUUGUAAUAGUGUAUUGAAUUUUGCUUAAUUGAUUUGUUAAUCCCAUAACAAACUUUAAGUAUAUUGGAAUGUUCAUUUUAACCCUGUUUUCAGGUAUCCUUUCCCUGGUUUUAGAAAAUCAGCUUUCACAAUUUUGAAUCCCAGAUCUCAGUCUUGGAUUGAGAACUUCAUGAUUCAUGUCUAUCUCUUGCUGCAUUAUCAGCAGCUAUAUCUUGGCAUUUUGACUGUUCAGUUUGUCAAUUUUUGAUAUGUUUCCUGUUUAAUUUUUCCAUCUCUCUUUUCAAUUCUGGUGCUUUUAGCUUUCAAUUUUCUUGGUCUAAUCACGAUGGCCGACGAUGACUAUGAAGAUAUCAACAUGGGGUUCUCUCUAUCUCUUUCCCUCCCUCACUUAAUUAAUUUGGGUUUUCCCUCUUUGCUUCUUCGCUUUGCUGAAAUUAUCAUUAUUAUUGAAAUUGAAAUAUUUCUUAUGUUUAAAACCUUGCUGAUGAUGAUGAUGCAGUUAUGAGGAGGAGCCAGCAGAGCCUGAAAUCGAGGAAGGAGCAGAGGACAUCGAAAUACAUGACUAAGUAUGAGCGAGCUAAGAUUCUCGGUACCCGCGCUCUUCAAAUUAGAAAUUGACUAGCUUUAUUGACAACAGAAUCAGAAGCGGAGAACUCGGCCAGAGGUGUGAGAGCUGCAUGCAAUGAUGAAGUAAGAGUUUGAUAUUGUAAUUCUAAAAAGAGAAUUUAAAUUUAUUUGAAAUACAGUCAAGGUUUAAUAGUUUCUUACGUGAGCCUGUAACUGUCCAUAGCUGCAUUUCACCAUGUUCAUACUCUUCUGGAUUAAUGAUAAUAAGAAUGAUGGUGUCACCUUCUCUAGUAAUGUUAUCCACCAUCCAUUGCAAUGCCUUGAUGCUGCAUGGAGAGAAAUCCAUUGCUACACCUAAUCUCCUUGAACCUGCCAUUGAAUUGUUCACUUGUGUUGUAAAAUUAUGUGUGAAUAAGUUUUUUCAUGCUCUUUUGGAAUGAGAGUGUUCGAGGAACAUAACAUAAUCCAAAGCAAUAUCUGAGGAACAUAAUAUAUAGUUGAAUUGAAUCUC